AGUACAACUCCGCACGGCCAGCAACCCACAACACUGUAGCGGCCGCUGUCUUGUUCUGCUUUCGGUUCGGUUUUUUUAAGUUGUCGUUUUUUGUGUAUGCAUAAAAGGUGCAUGUGUAUUCGUACUUUUUAUAUGCAUUGUUGCAAGCCUGGCCUUAUGUUUUUUGUGUAAUUCGUAAUUGUUCGUCGUUGUUGCAAUUUGUUAAUUCAUUAAAUGCAAUCAUUGCAAAUACAUCGCGCGUAAACAGUGCACUAUUUUAUGGCCAUCAGUGUUGUGAGCAGCAGAAGUCACAGCAAAAAAAAGUUGUUUUUCGUGUAUGAAGAAAACUGCUCAAAAUAUUACUCGUUCACGUGGCCAGCUAAGCACAUGUUUUAAAUGCUGCCCGAAAAAAAGCUAAUUUCCAACUAAAAGAAAUUCAAUUUGUGUGUUUUUGUGUGUGGUUUUGGUUGGAGCCAAAAGAAAAAAGUAGAAAAUAAAACGAUUUGACGACGAGUCUCUCUGUGCUGUGCUGUGCAGUGUGCGCCAGAGUGAGAAAGAGUGCGCGUCUUUUACGCUAAACACCGAGUGAGAGAGGAGCGGAGAGAAGGAAAGAGGGAGAGCCAAAGCCAGCCCAGUCGCCGCCACGCAAGUUAUUCACCCCAACAACAACAACAGAAGCAUCAGCAGCAGCUACGCACACACACAUUCACAGUUGGCUCUCCGUAUGCGGCCCGUGAUUUUGUAUGGGUGUGCGUGCGUGUCUGUCCGUGUCGGUGUCGGUGUGUUUAUGCGUGUGUGUGUGUGUGAAUGUGAUUUGAAGUAAAAAAAAAAAUAAGAAAAAGAACAACAGCCCAAAGAGCAUACAAAAUAAUAAUAUUGAAAACGAAUCAACAACAAUUGGAAACAGAAGAGAGCGAGAAACUCAGAAAGCGAGAGAGAGAGCGAUAAAAGUGGAGAACAGAGACUGAGAUUGACAGUAAGACGACGGCGACGACUAUGCUGCCAUUCGGCUAAUCACAGUGAACAAAACAAAAUUGACGCUAAAAGAACAGUCGAAAAGCGAGCAGAGAACGUGAACCUGGCUUGCAGCCAAAAACCGAAGAAGUCGAAGUCUAAACUGUGAUCACACAACAACACAAACACACUCUUAUACACAUACACACAGUGAAUACUAAACACAAUGAUGAUGAUGGACACAUUGGAUGCCCAGCCCAUGGAUGUGGCGCCUGCUGUGGCUGUGGCAGCCACCACAGUUACAGUUAACAGCACUCUGGACUUUACGGCCACCAUGGUUAGCAUGGCAGCGACAGCAGAGAGCAACAACAACAAUAGCAAUAACAACAACAAUCACAUGGAGGUCGCUGAUUACAAGGAGCAUCGCAAGAAUAAGAAAAAGAAGCGCGAAAAGCGUGAAAAGGAUAAGGAACAUCGUCACAAACAUCGCGAACAUCGUGAACAUCGCCGGCAUCGUGAUCGUGAUCGGGAACGUGAUCGCGAUUCAUCCUCGCAUCAUCAACAGCACCAGCAUCAGAGUCAUCACCAUCAGAACAGUAGCCAGCACUCGACAUCCGCCUCAUCAUCCCCAUCAUCCGCCUCGACGACGCCAUCGGCGACCAUUGAAUAUGUUGGCGGCUCAGCAUCGGCGUCGCCAUCGUAUCUAGGCGCCAGUGGAGGUGCCGCAGGAGCAACUCUGGCCGGAGGAGGAGGCGGUGCUGCAGCCACCACAUACCCGCACAAUUUAAAAAUACGUUUCCUGCUAUCCGGGCAACGCACCGAGUUGAGUCCACCCACCCACCAAACAUCGGCGACCGCUGAAGUGAAUGCCACAUUAGCGAGCGCAACGAUAGCAACCAGCGGCACAGCGAUAGCAACCACAGUAGCAGCAACAGCAGCCACUACCUCAACCUCCAGCAGUGCGAGCAGCUCAGCAGGAGCCAGCUAUGCGAAGACGGAGUCGAGCAAGGCGAGCAGCAGCAGCAGCAGUAAGCAUGGCAACAGCAGCAACAGUGGCAAGGACAGCAGCAGCAGCAAUAGCGCAGCAACAGUUGCUGCCAGCAGCAGUAGCGGCAAUGCGCCCAGUCUUUACGUCUCGGUGCCGUUGUCUACAGCCAAUGUACCUGGCAUCAAUUUGCCCAACAGCAGCAAUGCGAGUGAAGCUCAUGGAACCCCGCAGCAACAGCAAUCCGCACAGUCGCCACUAACAACAGGUGGAGGAGGCGCAUAUGCAACAUCUGCCGGUGGCAACAACAACAGCUCUGGCUCUGUUAUACAGCAUCAGAGUGGGAAAUCGUCGCCAGCCUUGGGUUCAUUGGUGAGCAGCAGUGCAUCAGGUGGCAACACCGGCAAUCUGACGGCCACCACCACAGAAAGUGGCAACCUGAAGAUCAGCUUUGAGAAGCAGACGACGCGAGUGCAACAGUUGCAGGAGCAAGAAGCAUCGCCAGCGAGACGCAGCAGAACUCCCGAUCUCAAUCUGGCGAGCAACCCAGCGACAACAUCAGCAACCACCAGCAGCAGCAGCAGCAACAGUUUGUUGAGUCUCAAUCUCGGCAGCAGCCACAAUCUGGGCAGCAACAACACGCCCAACAGCAGCAGCAACAGUGGCGGCGGCGGCGGCGGUCUCAAGUUCACCUACGAGGCACAAAUGGAUGUGCCGAUGUUGCCCGUUAGCGCCAUCAAGGAUUCGCCUCCAAGUUCACCGGGUUCCGAGUUUGGUUCGAAUCUGAACACGAAUCUGACGACGGCAGCAAUCAAUGCUGCUGCAGCAGCCACAGCCGCAGUGGCAGCUAGCAGCAAUGUGCGCAAACGUGGACGCAAGGCCAAAGACGCAACACUCGCUGCAACAACAGCGGCAGCAGCAGCAGCAGCAGCGGCGGCAGCAGCAACAGUUGCCACGCAACCGGAUCUCAAGGAUGUGCGCAUACUGCAGAAUGGUUGCAGCAGUAGUGCCACAGCAGCAACAGUUGCUGCCACUGCCGCUGUGCCGCCCGUCAAUGCACCCACACCGCCAGCAACACCCGCCAGCAAUGCAAGCAACAGCAACAGCAGCUCAAUCAUUGCACACACGGCAACACAUAUGCUGGGCAACCAUGUGAAUCCCAGCAGCAGUGUGGCCCAGAAGCUGUCGGAGCAACUGCACAUGGAGGUCCAGGAUCAUGCCAUCUACACGCCCGACUCGAUGACCUCCCAAUUCGCUGGCGUUCCGUUUCCCGGCAAGCAGCGGAAUGCGAGCAACGCUGCUGCGGCUGCAGCUGCCGCAACAGCGACGCCGGCACCGAAUCCGCUGCAAUCGAUGUUCGGUGGCGGUGGCAUCAAUGGCAACAUGCCGAUACCGCAGAGUCUGGAACAGUUGCUGGAGCGCCAGUGGGAGCAGGGAUCGCAGUUUCUCAUGGAGCAGGCGCAGCACUUUGACAUUGCUUCGUUGCUAAACUGUCUGCAUCAGCUGCAGAGCGAGAAUCUGCGUCUGGAGGAGCAUGUGACCAGUUUGAUAGCACGUCGCGAUCAUCUGUUGGCCGUUAAUGCUCGUCUCCAGAUUCCGCUGAACAAUGCUAUCAAUAAUGCCAAAGCCGAGGCGCAUGCUUCCAGCAACAGCAGCAGCAACAUGAACAGCAUCAGCAGUGCAAAUGCUCUCAAUGCUGCCACCACAAUUGCAGCAGCCGUUUCGCUGGCAACAACAGCCAUCAAUACAACAACACCCACCAUGGCGAACAGUCGAGCAAGCAGCGCCAACAGCAGCAUUCUGGACUAUCGUAGCAGCAGCAACAAUAACAACAACAGCAGCAACAAUAGCAGUAACAACAGCAGCAACAACAACAGCAUUAGCAAUAAUACUGCAAAUGCAAAUGCAGUCACAACAAAUACUGCGACACCAAUGUCAGCGGUUGGCAGUCUUGCAAUGGGCAGUGCUGCCAACUUGGGUUUGAGGCAUGUGCCCGCUUCCCAUGCGUAUAACAGCGCCGGUAACAGCAGCAGUAGCAGCAACAACAACAACAACAACACUAACAGCAACAGCCUUGGCAAUGUUAACGCUAACAGUGCCAGCAGCAACAACUUGCACACGCAUCAACAACAGCACGCAUCGUAUUUGCAAUCGCAGCAGCAGCAACAGCAACAACAACAACAGCAGCCGCAGCAUUUGCAUCAUGCAGCGCAUACAGUGAUGGGCGUGAGCAUGGGCGGUGGCGCUGCGGCUAUUGGACGAGGUGGGUCAGCUACAGCGGUUGCUGCAACAACAACAACAAUAACAACCACAACCACAGCAGCAAGAGCAACAUUGACAACAACAACAACCACAUCAGGCAGUUUGCAACACCACGCGCACCCGUUACCGAUACCAGUACCAGUACCGAUAACGAUAACCAAUAUGAAUGCGAUAACGAAUACGCAUACGAAUACGAUAACGAAUGUUGUGAAUCCGCACCACCCGCUGCACCAUCAUCAUCCUAGCAUACCAGCUCAAUUGGCUGGGGGUGUGGGCGGCAUUGCCGGCAACGGCGGCGGCGGCGUUCACGUUGAUGAUGUAGCUUUGAGUAGCUCCUCCACCUCUUCCUACGCAGCGCAUCAUGCGCUUUACAACACGCAUCACCAGUCCCAACUAAGGCGCGACGAUAACCUAACCAAAUCUAGCUGAAAGUCAUACCGCGAGCAACAACAGCAAACAAAGCAGCACAUCAAGAAGUCCUCAAUCUUGGCCAGACGUGGUCGCCAAGGCAAUAGCAACGGCAACAGCAGCAGCAACAACAAAUCCCAGUCACACACAUACAAUAAGCUUAAGCAGACAGCAAUUAGCUUUCAGCAGCUGCGCGAUAAUGACGAAGACGAUCUCAGUAGCAGCAGCAGCAGUUCUUCAACGUUUUCAUCGUCUUCGCCACAACACUCUUCGGUGGACUAUGAGGCCGAAGAUGAGAAUGAAGAUAAACAGCGACAGCGACGUCAUAAGGAUGAGAAUGACAGUUUAAUACAUGUGCAAAACUUUCUCAAAUGCUUUGGGACUAACGCCUUUGCCGGCUCAGCAGUGAGAACAGCAACGGUGACAACAGCAGCAUUGGGAACAGUUGCCACAUUAACAGAGUCCAAAGAGUACAGUUCAGCCAGCACAGAGCUGAGAAACUGGCGUCAAAACUUUCGCACCACUUCCACAACAACAACAUCAACAAUAACAGCGACGACAUCCACAGCGAAAGCAGCUACUGCAACAACAACAAUUACUCCACAAAUACAAUUUAGUAACAGCAAGCCACAAAAAUUUCAAAUCAAUACGAAAUUUCUUCGCAAACCACGCAACAAACUGAUGAAAAUGCUGCCAGCAACAACCGCAACAACAACAUUAGCAACCGGACAGCAACAGGAGCAACAAGAACAACAACAGCUAACGCAGCUAUUUAUUGAUGAUUCCAACGCCAAAUUCAAAGACUUUUCAAUUGACUCGCUAUUGAAUAAGUAACAAACAAACAAACAAACAUAAAAAAACGUAAUGCAAUUAGACCCAUUAGAUCUAUAAUUUGUAGCCUAAUUCUUCUCACACACAGCAGCCAACCACAAAACAAAACAACAACCAC